CAAUAGCGUGUAUUAAAGUUGUUGCGGUUAAAAGCUCGUAGUUGGAUUUCUGCUGAGGACGACCGGUCCGCCCUCUGGGUGAGUAUCUGGCUCGGCCUUGGCAUCUUCUUGGGGAAUGUAACUGCACUUGACUGUGUGGUGCGGUAUCCAGGACUUUUACUUUGAGGAAAUUAGAGUGUUUCAAGCAGGCGCACGCCUUGAAUACAUUAGCAUGGAAUAAUAAGAUAGGACCUUGGUUCUAUUUUGUUGGUUUCUUGGGGCGAGGUAAAGGUGAAUAGGGAUUGUUGGGGGCAUUCGUAUUUAACUGUCAGAGGUGAAAUUCUUGGAUUUGUUGAAGACGGACUACUGCGAAAGCAUCUGCCAAAGAUGUUCUCAUUGAUCAAGAACGAAAGUUAGGUGAUCGAAGACGAUUAGAUACCGU
rnacentral:rRNA from 1 species